ensembl:lncRNA
AGCACAAGUAAAUAUGGGAAUGUUAUGAUGAAAAUCUCAGUUAUUUCUAAUUGAUGAAAAUACCCUGGUGUUUAUACAAAGCUACACAGUGACUCACAAUGAAAUGAAGUCAGCAAAAUACCAGACGUUUUUACAUCCAAAACAGAGACAAGUGCCAUAUGUUCAUAAAAUAGUUUUCUCCUUAGUAAAUGUUUAUGAAGAAAAUGAAUGGACAAAUUCCAAAAGGAGAAACUUGGGUAAUAUUAUUUUUAGACAACAGAACUAUUUUUUCCAUUAAGAUUUUUUCUUCUCAUUUACGUAUUUUCAUUGCAAAUCAGAUGACACAAAAGGGUAUCUAAUACUCAUACAAAUAUCUUUAAUAUUCCUUGGUGCUUUACUACCACUGCAGCAAAAAUGUAGGAAAAUGUUUUCCUCGCAGACCAGAAAACCCUAACUCUUGCUGUUUGCUGGAACCAGAACUGGGAGCCUGUGGUCAGAUCGAGAUGUACCUGAAUAGAUGUAGGGCUUGGUGGAGACUUGUGUGGAAGACACUAAUUACCUCAAAGUCUUAGAAAUCUCCUCCACAAGUCGACAUGGCCACUUUUCCAAGAAGCAAAGCAGUUUUGCAAGAAACUUCAACAAGAGGACUUUCUAGCUACAGCUAUGGGUCAAUUGCUUGCAAGGAUUGCACAAGCAGAGAGAAGGGAAGAGACAAGAUAAAAAAGAUAACAAAACAGUCAUUUCACUUUAAUCAAAUCCUUUCUUGAGGCCUGAGAAACUUUCUAUUACUGUGUGCAUGUUUGUUUGUUUUUUUUUUUAAUUUCCAUUUCCAUUUGCUUGUACACUUGUGACUUGCAGCUGACACUACAAGCAGUACUGCCAAAACACCAUGGGAAACACCAUACCUUCUAUUUUUCUGACCGCACAGUAAUAUCCUGAAGAAGAAACAAACUGGUUUUCAUGAAAGUUUCUAUCUGAGGCCAGGCUGGGUCACAUACUAGUUUGCCCUGUUGCCAGCACCAGAUAAAGAAGAAAAAGAGUAAGCCUUUCUGCAGGGUGAGGAGAAAUUCAGGGGUAAUUCUCAAAUUUAUGAUUGGCCAUAAAAGUACUUUUUCACUUUUGCUUUUAGGUACAGCUUACAAUGGCUGCUCAUCUACUUUCAGGCAUAGUAGUGGGUGGUCACCACAGUCAGGUCAUGGGUAG